rnacentral:lncRNA from 1 species
AGAGAUGGGGUUUCACCUUGUUGGCCAGGCUGGUCUUGAACUCCUGACCUCAAGCGAUCCACCUGCCUUGGCUUCCCAAAGUGCUAGGAUUACAGGCAUGAGCCACCACACAUGGCCUCCCACUUAGUUUUUAUAUCAAGACAAACAACAAAAAUACCUCCUUGUCCAGUAAACAGAGGUCUAUUUUGACACAAUAGACAGUUUUCAUCUUUCACGCAAUUCCCAUACAUGAAUCAAUUCACAGGUGCACAGACCAUUGAUUAAAGGAAGAGUAUAGGAUGCUUAAGGAAAGAUCCAGCAACAGCAACACAAGUUCAUACUAUGAACAUUUUUUCCUGUUCUUUCCCAACGGAUAAAUACACAAACCUCUUGGGGACAAUCAGACAACUAACCACAGAUUCCUGGAGACCCACAAUGCCUCUGGGCUUCAGCAGUCAGAGUAUGGGCUUAUGGAAAUGUAUGAUUAAGUGUUGAUAAGAAAAACAGAGAACAUUCAACAUAUUUCAAGCAGAAAUGUAUAUAAUGCAGGGACUUGCUUACAAAGAUGUUGGAAAUGCCAAAGGAGCUAAGAGUAAAAUGUGACAUUUUCCAGAGCCCAGGAAACCACCCUGGGGGUGAAGCCAACAACCCCACUUUCACUACUGACAGUGCUGGAAGAGCCACCACUGCUAAAGGAGCAAACAGUCCUGGACUCUUGAUGUGAUGUCAUACCUUGAGGGAACAAACCAACUAUCUGGUGGCAGAUCAAUUACAUAGGACCAUGUCCCUUGUGAAGAAGGAACAAUUUGUCUCACCGGUGACAGUGCUUACUCUGGGUUUGAAUUUCCUUUCCCUGCUUCUCAUUCUUCUCUCAGAACCUCCAUCUAUGGACUUAAUACACAGUCUUAGUGUCCCACACAAUAUUGUUUCUGACCAUGAAAUUCACUUCACAAGAAAAGAAGUGAGAGUGAGCAGACACCAGAGGAUUCACUAACCUGAGCUCCAUCAGCCAGCCUUCUAGAGUGGUGGCAAAACCUACUGAAGGUCCAGGUGGUUUUAUAGGGAGAUUAACUUCACCAUUCAGUGAUGGAUUGCAGAUUCCUAAGCAGGAAUUCUGAGAGCCGGAGGACAGUCGUCAAGGCUUUGGAUGCCUUCUUUGGAGAGUAAUUAAAACAGUGUUUUUAAUUACAGAAGUGGUAGCUACUUUAUGCUAAUUGGGAAGCAAGUCUAAGUUCAAAACACAGAGUAUAUGUGUUUGGCAGCAAAUGGGGAACAGGACAGUUGAUGUUCGGGCUAUCUGCAUCCAAGCCCAGUCUCCCUUUUGGGAAAAAACCCUCACUGUUGUAGUAAGAAUAUUCCACUUCCCACCUCCCACCUCCCUUACACAGAAGCCAGAGGGAGCUAAAUCUUUCCCCACUCCCAGAAAUAGCCAAGAAGGAGGCUUAUGGUGUGUGAGUCCCAAAAACAAUGCUGGAGGUGCCCAGAAGAAUAUUAUUAUUGACUGAAUGCGGUGGCUCACGCCUGUAAGUUUAGCACUUUGGGAGGCUGAGGCGGGUGGACUGCUUAAGCCCAGGAGUUCAAGAUCAGCCUAGGCAACAUGGCAAAACCCUGUAUCUAUAAAAAUACAAAAAUUAGCCAGAUGGUGG